UCGACGGAAAAAGAGAGGCAAAGGGCAUCAGAAUACAGAAACCAGAAAAUCACUGAAAUCAGAAAUGAAUGGGAGUGCCACAGUGGCAGUGGGCAUUUGCCCCUCCACCUCCAAGCCAUUGAGCAUAGGCUUAAGCCCAAUCCCUAUCCGUUUGCGCUGGAGGAGGAGGAGGUGUUUGAUGAUUGAGGUGGAGGCGGAGCCAACCCGGCCAGAGGCCCAAUCCGUCUCUCGCCGCCUCAUUCUGCUUCGCCAUGCCAAGAGUUCUUGGAAUUAUCCAGCUCUGCGAGAUCAUGACCGUCCUCUCAGUAAAAUCGGACGAGCUGAUGCUGUAGUGGUUUCUCAAAAGCUCCAACAUGUGGGUUGGAUCCCUCAGCUUAUUUUAUCUAGUGAUGCCCUGCGAACCAGGGAAACACUUAAUAUCAUGCAGAAACAGGUGCGUGGUUUCCUGGAAGCAGAGGUCCAUUUUAUCUCUAGUUUUUAUUCCAUUGCAGCCAUGGAUGGACAGACUGCUGAACACCUCCAACGAACUAUCUGUCAGUAUUCGAGGGAUGAAAUACUUACCAUCAUGUGUAUGGGUCAUAAUAGGGGAUGGGAAGAGGCAGCCUCCAUGUUCACUGGUGCUUCCAUAGAGCUCAAGACUUGCAAUGCUGCUUUGCUUGAAGCUACUGGAAAAUCUUGGGAAGAGUGGAGUGGGUUGAAAUUUUUUUUGAAAACAGGUUACAUGAUCGAUGCGGCGUAUGCAGGCUUUCUUUCCCUCUUCUCCUUUAAAAAAAAAAGGAAGGCAUUUGCUGUAGCAGGAUUUGGUGGGUGGAAGCUACAAGGCAUAGUGACACCCAGUAGUAACCUGUAGAGUAUAGACAUUCCAAAAUUUUGAAAUAAUCUGAUUCCUCCACACUCUGCUCUCCCUGCAAGGAAAGAAGAAAUUAUUCAAAAAAGCAUUAUUCAGAGACAGAGUUGCUAUACAGUGUAAAUCGGCUUCCAAUCCCUACAGAUGUAUGUUGUUUGCACUCUGCAGGUUGCAAUUGUUGAAGUCCAUCCUGAUCAAAACAUAGCAGUUGCAGUUUGCACAAGUUUGAAUAUGUGGAAUUGAUGCGUGGCUAUCUUGAAACUGUUUCGUCGUUUGCUAGGUUCAUUAUAUUCCACAAAAAUGAGUCUGCGGCUCUGUUCCGUCAGAUAGAUCUUCUUUUGCUUGACUCUAGUGCGACGAAAAUGAUUAUUUCUAAUAAUUAAUUUGAAGGUUUGACCGUGCGUAAAGGCCUCAAGGGUGACCUUUUUCUUUGUUGCGGCCAACGAAUGACCAUUUGGAAAAUUGAUACGCUUCGGGAAAACUGGGUGGUUCACCUAUGUAGUAAGCAAAAAUAACAAAAAGGUUCAAGGGGACGGGUGUUUACCUAUGUAGCUGCAUAUGUAAUGUCAAUUAGCUACCUUACAAAUAAUCAUGGAAUGAUUGCAAUUGUCCUGCAACUCUGGCAUGAGAUGAGCGGCAAGCUUUGAAGUGAGAAGCCUUAGUAGAGAAGGGCUUUUGCAUUUUAAUUGACAGCGGAUAAUUCUUGUUUGAGAAUCUUCACUUGCAGAGAUUGUGAUUGAUGCUUAAGAUAACGAAUGAGAUAAAUGAUAACU